UACAGAGGUCUCAAGCGUUGUUCGGAUUUAUUGGGCGUAAAGGGUGCGUAGGCGGCGCGGUAAGUCGGGUGUGAAAUCUCGGAGCUUAACUCCGGAACUGCAUUCGAUACUGCCGUGCUUGAGGACUGGAGAGGAGACUGGAAUUUACGGUGUAGCGGUGAAAUGCGUAGAUAUCGUAAGGAAGACCAGUGGCGAAGGCGGGUCUCUGGACAGUUCCUGACGCUGAGGCACGAAGGUCAGGGGAGCAAACGGG
rnacentral:rRNA from 1 species